rnacentral:rRNA from 1 species
UACGGAGGGUGCAAGCGUUAAUCGGAAUUACUGGGCGUAAAGCGUACGUAGGAUGUAAUGCAAGUCGGAUGUGAAAUCCCCGGGCUUAACCUGGGAACUGCAUUCGAAACUACAUUACUAGAGUGUAGUAGAGGUAAGCGGAAUUUCGGGUGUAGCGGUGAAAUGCGUAGAUAUCCGAAAGAACAUCAGUGGCGAAGGCGGCUUACUGGACUAACACUGACUCUGAGGUACGAAAGCGUGGGUAGCAAACAGG